UCAAGACUCUCCCACGUCACGUGUUCCAAGUGAACCUGCCCAAGCUCAAGACGGAUGGUGCACACGGGCCUGGUGGAGCUGCCCAACCUCACCCACCUGAACACCAGCAGCAUCAUCCACAUGGUGGACCUGGAGAACAACAGAAUACGCCGAAUACGAAGCCACUCCAUCAACAUCAGCGCUGUACAACUCCUGCUGGAUAACAACAUGCUGCAGGCAGUGGAAGCCGAGGCCUUCCAGGGCUCCGAGAUUGGCAAACUG